GACGUAGGGCGCGAGCGUUGUCCGGAUUUAUUGGGCGUAAAGAGCUCGUAGGCGGCUUGUCGCGUCGUCCGUGAAAACUUGGGGCUCAACCCCAAGCUUGCGGUCGAUACGGGCAGGCUAGAGUUCGGUAGGGGAGACUGGAAUUCCGGGUGUAGUGGUGAAAUGCGUAGAGAUCCGGAGGAACCCAGAGGCGAAGGCGGUGCCCUGGCUCGCAACUGACGCUCAGACACGACAGCAUGGGGAGCGAACGGG
rnacentral:rRNA from 1 species